UGUGUAGGCGGUGUAUCAAGUCAGGAGUGAAAUCCCAGGGCUCAACCCUGGAAUUGCUCUUGAAACUGAUACGCUAGAGUACUGGAGAGGUUAGCAGAAUUCCGAGUGUAGAGGUGAAAUUCGCAGAUAUUCGGAGGAAUACCAGUGGCGCAAGCGGCUAACUGGACAGUAACUGACGCUGAGACACGAAAGCUGGGAUCAAACA
rnacentral:rRNA from 1 species